rnacentral:lncRNA from 1 species
CUAUCGGUUUUUGACUAUUGGAAUAUAAACAACUACAAGAAUAUACCGUAAAUCUAUACGGAUGUCCUUUGAUUGCUCGCCAAAAUCCUUUUUGCCCCAGCCGAUAGGUCUCUAGACGUUACACAGAACCCCGAACAACCCAAACUGCUAAUCUUCGAUAUCACUUUAUACUCACAAUCUUGUAUCCACUGACUGUCUCGUUACAUUAAUCCAAUAAAUUUCAUUCACUCCGCAUACUCAAUCCUAUAGACACCCUUUUAAUUCUUCAUCACAAACGUAACUCGAUUUCACAAAACAGUCAAGAGUAAUCACAUCCACUUCAUUAAAAUCCCGAUUCACCAGUACAACACUAACUUCAGCAACGAUUGCCUCAGUCUUUCCAAAACCCUA